rnacentral:rRNA from 1 species
GUCCACGCCCUAAACGAUGGAUGCUCGAUGUCGGCCCGCAAGGGUCGGUGUCUAAGCUAACGCAUUAAGCAUCCCACCUGGGAAGUACGAUCGCAAGGUUGAAACUCAAAGGAAUUGACGGGGGCCCGCACAAGCAGUGGAGCAUGUGGUUUAAUUCGAUGCAACGCGAAGAACCUUACCUGGGUUUGAAAGGCAAGUGACAGGCGAUGAAAGUCGCUCUCUCCGCAAGGGGCACUUGUACAGGUGCUGCAUGGCUGUCGU